ACCUUUCCAUCCCUUCCCGAUUAUUUUACGUAAGCAAACAAACAUUUAGGAGGCUCGAAAAAGCUUGCUUUCACAGUGUUACAGUAGAAGAACAUUACUGAUUUCAAUAUUGUAAUUUUUUGGGAGAUCCCCGUGCAUAUUUAUGCAGCUGUGCGACGGUUCUAUUUUUUCGAAAGUGAAGUGAAAGAUAUUGUUGUAUCUCAAAGUGUCUUCGUGAAUAACAGUGACAAGUUUUAAAAAGGUGUAAUUUUUACAUCCCGCGGUCACUUGGACACGUCGUUUUAAACUGUCUCAAUUUGACUUCGCUGCGUGAUAUUUUCAGGAUAUACAAGUGAAUGAAAAAAGAAACACGUUAUCGCAUAAAAGUGCAAUUAAUCAUAUUAACAUUCAUCUCGUUGAAAGGUCAAUUAAGCCGUGGAAAGAUCGCCCGAAGCCGGAAGCAGCAUAUCGAUGAGGAUCGACCGGGCGCUGGCUCUUUUCGGCCGGCGGCGCCACCUUUAACAAGACAGCUUGCAGGCCCCACGAAAGCUGAGCAGAAAAAAACGUAGAGGUCAACGACAACUGCCUUCGACACACCUACGCUAUUGCUUAUUAAUGCUGCUAAGAAGAUUUUGCGCUUUUUCUCGGCAAAUCGAAGGAUGGACCGUUUGCUUUUGUGCUUUUAUCCAUAUCUGAGCUCACCGAUUUUAUCGCUU